GCCGCACCCACUGUCCACAGGCCCCGUCCUGUGGUGCCGCACAGAGAGAGACACAAAAUGCUGGAGUAACUCAGCCUCAACCCCGAGGCCUUAAACACAGUGUCCCGCUUUAACACCCACACGGCAGAAAACACACGUCAGGAGGCGAGUGCGUUUACAAGCUGGGAGGUCAUGUUGCAGUUAUAUAAAUGACCUCCAUCAAGGACGCAGAGUUAUUAUCCUAAAAUGGUGGCCCUGCUUCUGCAAAUACUGCCGAAACUGUUGAGCACUUCUUAAUUUCUUUUUUUUUUAAUUCGCUUUUGAUGCGUUUUAAUAACAUAUUUUCUCGGGAUACAGGAGGAGUACCAAGGAGCUGCUAGAGGUUUGGACGUGUAACCAUGGGCCACCGAUUUCUCUGGUAUUCCAGAUGUCCACAGCUGCAGAUUACACUGUACAUGAAAGGUGGCGGAAUCGGACAAUGUGGAGACUCGGAAGUAAUAUAGGAAGGUGAUGGUCCCUGUGUGUGAUGAUCACAAUCCAGUGCUUUACUGGAAAGCACCUGAAUUGGAACCAGCUGUGAUCCUUCACACUGUUUACUGUCACUAGUAUUCGAACAAUAUCUACACUGGAAAGCAUUCUAAUUCAAGAAUCCAAGAUCGUUCUACAGUAAUUCUGACAAUAUUUGCUGCCACACUGUGGAUUCGGCCUGGUGUCAGUCACACAUCUGGCAGCUGAGGAUGAAUGUGUGAACUGGCUGUUUGGGAGCAGAGCGCGUUGGAGCCUUAAAAACGUUGUUUAAUCAUCCACUCAUUUGUUUAUGUCUCAAAUUCUGCUUCGUAUUUCUCCACUGUGAUGAAGCCAGACUCAAUAAGUUAGUCACAAAUUGCUGGAGUAAUUCAGCGGGGAGGCAACAUCUCCGGAGAGAAGGAAUGGGCGACAUUUCAGGUCGAAACCUUUCUUCAGAAUUAGUUAGUUAAGUUAGUGCUAUGAAGAAAUAAAAUGUGACUUUAUUGUUGAACAUAGAUACACUAUCACUCUUAUGCAUCAUUUAGUUCCAUGCAUAUACCCUCUCAACCAUGUAAAUGGACAGCCAAACCUGUGUGUGAAAUCUCUUUGGAUGUGGGAACUGUGACAAUCAUCUGUGUAUGGAUGUAGCCAAGGUGGGAAAGACUGGGUAUAUAUUCUGCAUACUUGCAGAAUAUAUACAUUUGCAUCCAAACAAUAGUUUGUACAGGAUAUGAUAACUAUGUUAUUAAAACUAUGAAUGUCAUGUUCUCAUGAACAAUAUCAAUUGCUUCUGAAAACGCACCUUUAGUUGUCAUAUUUGCUGCUGAAACUGGGACUGUUUUCCCUGGAACAAACGUGGCAAAGGGGUGAAUUUAUAAAGUUUAUAAAAACAAAUAUCGCUUUCUUAAUAAAGUUCUGGUCAAAAUUAACUUUG